rnacentral:rRNA from 1 species
GGCGGUUCGCCGCCGGCGACGUCGCGAGAAGUUCACUGAACCUUAUCAUUUAGAGGAAGGAGAAGUCGUAACAAGGUUUCCGUAGGUGAACCUGCGGAAGGAUCAUUGUCGAAACCUGCCCAGCAGAGCGACCAGAGAACAUGUUUAACAUGAACGGGGUCGGGGUGAGAGCCCCUUCCUCAAGCCGGGGAAUCGCUCCGCCUUGGCGGGCGUCCUUCCCGGCACAAUAACGAACCCCGGCGCGGUCUGCGCCAAGGAACAUGAAUACAAGUGUGCCCCUCCGCAGCCGGUUCGCCGGCCGUGGAAGUGGCACCAAGUCGUAUAUAACAUUAAACGACUCUCGGCAACGGAUAUCUCGGCUCUCGCAUCGAUGAAGAACGUAGCGAAAUGCGAUACUUGGUGUGAAUUGCAGAAUCCCGUGAACCAUCGAGUCUUUGAACGCAAGUUGCGCCCGAAGCCAUUAGGUCGAGGGCACGCCUGCCUGGGCGUCACGCAUCGCGUCUCCCCCCACCACCCCGCGUGGAUGGGGAGGAGGAUGAUGGCCUCCCAUGCCUCACCGGGCGUGGAUGGCCUAAAUAAGGAGCCCCCGGUUAUGAAGUGCCGCGGCGAUUGGUGGAAUACAAGGCCUAGCCUAGGACGAAAUCGAAGUCGCGCACAUCGUAGCUCUUGAGGACUCGCAGGACCCUAACUUGUUUGCCCCUAGGGGCGGCAAAACCGUUGCGACCCCAGGUCAGGCGGGGCUACCCGCUGAGUUUAAGCAUAUCAAUAAG